UAAUCAUCUGACAUUUGUAGCUGGUAAGCUCCAAAUGUCGAAUGAUUACA
rnacentral:pre_miRNA from 1 species